rnacentral:rRNA from 1 species
CCUACGGGAGGCUGCAGUGAGGAAUAUUGGUCAAUGGGCGCGAGCCUGAACCAGCCAAGUAGCGUGAAGGAUGACUGCCCUACGGGUUGUAACCUUCUUUUAUAAAGGAAUUAAGUGAGGCACGUGUGCCGUUUUGUAUGUAUUUUAUGAAUAAGGAUCGGCUAAUUCCGUGCCAGCAGCCGCGGUAAUAUGGAGGAUCCGAGCGUUAUCCGGAUUUCUUGGGUUUAAAGGGAGCGUAGAUGGGUUGUUAAGUCAGUUGUGAAAGUAUGCGGAUCAACCGUAAAAUUGCAAUUGAUACUGGCAGCCUUGAGUACAGUUGAGGUAGGCGGAAUUCGUGGUGUAGCGGUGAAAUGCUUAGAUAUCACGAAGAACUCCGAUUGCGAAGGCAGCUUACUAAACUGCCACUGACAUUGAUGCUCGAAAGUGUGGGUAUCAAACAGGAUUAGAUACCCUGGUAGUC